rnacentral:rRNA from 1 species
UACGUACGAGGCGAGCGUUAUCCGGAAUUACUGGGCGUAAAGCGCGCGCAGGCGGACCAUUAAGUUGGGCGUGAAAUCUCCCGGCCUAACUGGGAGGGGUCGCCCAAGACUGGUGGUCUUGAGGACAGCAGAGGUGGGUGGAAUUCCUGGUGUAGUGGUGAAAUGCGUAGAGAUCAGGAGGAACACCGGUGGCGAAGGCGGGUCUCUGGGCAGUAACUGACGCUGAGGAGCGAAAGCGUGGGGAGCGAACAGG